CUCGAUUAUGCACAUAAAGUUUGAAUGUAAGUAGAUACCUAUAUAGAUACAAAUUAGAUAAAAUUUAUAUAACAACAAAUUAAAAUCGGAAGAGUAUAAUGUACUUCAUUUUAUACAAAUAAUAUUAUCUUUCAAUAGGAUACAUCCACCUAAAUUGCACUGCUCCAGCAAUGAGUGCCUCUUCUGCUAAAUGUAUAGGUAGAUACUU
rnacentral:lncRNA from 1 species